UACGUAGGGGGCUAGCGUUGUCCGGAAUCAUUGGGCGUAAAGCGCGUGUAGGCGGCCCGGUAAGUCCGCUGUGAAAGUCCAGGGCUCAACCCUGGGAUGCCGGUGGAUACUGUCGGGCUCGAGUCCGGGAGAGGGGAGCAGAAUUCCCAGUGUAGCGGUGAAAUGCGUAGAUAUUGGGAGGAAUACCAGUGGCGAAGGCGGCUCCCUGGACCGGUACUGACGCUGAGGCGCGAAAGCGUGG
rnacentral:rRNA from 1 species